GAUUUUGUUUGAGUUAUUAUUACUGUUGUCUAAAAUUUACACAAUUCUGUUAUGAGUUUAGUUGUAAAAAAUUGUUGCUAAAUAUAUUAAAAC